rnacentral:rRNA from 1 species
AUUGAACGCUGGCGGCAUGCCUUACACAUGCAAGUCGAACGGCAGCACGGGUGCUUGCACCUGGUGGCGAGUGGCGAACGGGUGAGUAAUACAUCGGAACAUGUCCUGUAGUUGGGGAUAGCCCGGCGAAAGCCGGAUUAAUACCGCAUACGAUCUACGGAUGAAAGCGGGGGACCUUCGUGCCUCGCGCUAUCGGGUUGGCCGAUGGCUGAUUAGCUAGUUGGUGGGGUAAAGGCCUACCAAGGCGACGAUCAGUAGCUGGUCUGAGAGGACGACCAGCCACACUGGGACUGAGACACGGCCAAGACUCCUACGGGAGGCAGCAGUGGGGAAUUUUGGACAAUGGGCGAAAGCCUGAUACAGCAAUGCCGCGUGUGUGAAGAAGGACUUCGGGUUGUAAAGCACUUUUGUCCGGAAAGAAAACAUUGGCCCUAAUACGGUCGGGGGAUGACGGUACCGGAAGAAUAAGCACCGGCUAACUACGUG